rnacentral:tRNA from 7 species
AGGGGUAUAGUUCAAUGGUAGAACAACAGGCUUCAACCCUGUGUGUUGUGAGUUCGAGUCUUGCUACCCCUGCCA